rnacentral:lncRNA from 1 species
AUGGGAACAGAGACACUGAGGCAGCGGCCAUCUCCUAGGGAAUCUUUACUUCCCCGCCCAUCACUGGAACCGCCUGAAAUGCCCAUUCCGGUCGAUCAAGAGAGAAAGAAGGAUCGUCGGGCAGACACUGCUUCCAGCUGGGGGGUGGGGUGGGGGUACCGGGAGCCUGUGUCCUGUUCUAGCUGGACAGCUGCCCUCUGCCUGGCUGUAGGUGUCACUGUGGAGCAGGGCCACCGGGCACUGUGUCUGCUUGAGUUCACCGUGACCAUCAAGUUAAUGGGCUGGGAAAGGCAGAGAUGGCCCCUGGGGAAAAAGCAAGUAUCAUCGCAACAGAGUCUGAAGGGGAGGGGAUGGGGAAAGGAAAUGUCACGGAAUGAAUUGACAGAAGGGCCUGGAUGCAAGAUCCCGGGAAGAGGACAUCACACCCCCAGGAUGCUAGACAAAGCACUAGACGCAGAGUUCAGAGUCCAUUGGAAAGGUGGCCGAGCACGAUCAGCAUGAACAGGCCUAAGAUGGGGUCCAGGCCCUAUGAGUUCCUUCUUCAUCGACACGAUUGCCCUUGUGCUCCAGCCAUCCUGGCCUUCUUCCAGCUCCUCCAAGGCACCUGCUCCCCUGAAGGCCUUCCAGCCCCGCAUAGAAUCCUGCACCUGUGCGCUCCUCCCCACCCUCAGACACCAAGCUACGACAUCUUUCCCGGCCAGGGUCUCCCCUGGACCGUUCACUCCCUCGAUCUCUGCUGAGCACCCCGCGUUGCUCUGUGUCACCGUGACAACUGCAAUCUGUCAGGCACUAAUUAAGCAUCAGUCAUCCGCUUCCCCCCUUCCUAGAGCCCAUCCCUUUUGAUGAGCACUGCCACCCCAGGAUCUGGCCCUGUGCCUGGCCUGCGGGAGGCCUUCAAUAAACAUCACUGAAGCAACGGAGACUCUGAUAAGUCAUGCUGCAAAGGCUGUUUAACCUCAUCUAACCCAGUGUUUCCCCUAACGUGAAGUGAGUGCAGUCGCUCAGUCGUGUCCGGCUCUUUGUGACCCCAUGGGCUGUAGCCUACCAGGCUCCUCACUCCAUGGAAUUUUCCAAGCAAGCGUACUGGAGUGGGUUGCCAUUUCCUUCUCCAGGGGACCUUCCCAACCCAGGGAUCGAACCCGGAUCUCCUGCACUGCAGGCAGAUGCUUUACAGUCUGAGCCACCAGGGAAGCCCCUCCCCUAACGUGGCUGAGCGUGAAACCCUUCUCUCCUUUAAGUCCCAUUACUCUUCUGAGGAGCAGUGUGAAACCCUAGAUCAAGAUUCUAACUGGUUUGUGCUGUAUAGCACAUGGAACUCUGCUCAGUGUUAUGUUGCCAGCCUGGGAGAGGGAUUUGGGCGAGAAUAGAUACAUGUAUACGUAUGGCUGAGUCCCUUCGUGGUUCCUCUGAAACCACCACCACCAUUGCUAAUGGUCUAUACCCCAAUACAAAAUGCUUUUGCUGUUAAGAAAAUUCUAACAAGUCCAACUUCCACCAAAAUUGUGCUCCCCCGGAGCACACAUCCCAAGGCACAAAGGACCAAAUGUCAGAUGGUGAAAUAGUGGAGUCAGGCAGACCACCCCUCCUCCACUUUGGCUGUGAAACAGCCUGGGGCUCAGGGUGGACGCCCUGUCUGGCAUGGAGGAGAGACUCAGGAGGGACGUGGAGAAAGGUGCUUCCCAGCGGGUCUCGCCUGAGGUCCCACCUGAGCCGAGAAGCCAGGACAGGACUCCCAGGGUUCUAGAUGGAAGCAUUAGCUUUUGGUCUGUCCACACAGUGGAGGAAACAGCGGGCCGUUGGGAAAUGCCAGGCAUCAGGAGAAGCUUCUUGAUUGGGAAGUGCAUGUGGGGCUGAGCAGUGGGUGACUGGCCGCGUCCACCCCUCCAGGGCCACCUGCCAAGGUACGUGGCUUCCUCACUUCCUUUGCUCUGACAGUCACAGCUGGGGAGGGCGAGCUGAACAGCUCGCCCACCACUUACAAUCCCCAGGGAGCACUUCCUCCUGCUGAAUCAACUUGGAAGACAAGUUUCCGCUGUCGUGACCCAUCAUUAAAUACAACUGGCAGGACGAUUUUCCUCGGCUGGGGAUGCUCACGGUGGGCGGGAGGCUGGGCCAUCUGGGUCUUGUCGCUGUCCCCACCACACGCAGCCUCCUGUGCCUGCUUUGGCGCUGCUCCGCAUUCUCAGGCCGAGUUCCCACCAGAAGGGCCAGGAGGUCAGGCGGCUUUGCCCUCUGUCCAGGCGAGUCCUUGCCCCUGGCCUUGGCAGGAAGGGAGAGCAGAACCCCACGGCCAAGCUGGCCCAGCGGGGACCUCAGGCUUCACAAAGUGGGCAGGGUGGCCUGAGAGAUGUCUCCGACUCACGAGGUUUCCGAAUGUCACUGUCAGGCCAGGCACCCUGGAGGCUUGGGGGUCUCUGCCUAGCGAGCUCCAGGGAGACGCCCCACGUGAGGCAUAGACGCGCCCGGAUUCCAGCCAGGCUGUGAAGCAAAGAGGUCAGUGGGAGGGUUUUGCAGCCCAAAGGCCUCUGCUUGCUGGAGGAAGGGGGUGGUAGGCGGGGCUGCCCGUGGAAACACUGCUGUUUGACUGAUGAGCCUCAAGGUCAAAUGAACUCAGUGCUGAUAAGAGGUGAUUGAGCCAGGUUUUAUUCAGCCCUGCUCUGAUAGAGGAAAAAGCUGUGCUCACUUCCGAGGACAGCAGAGGCAGCUGGGGGCUUCCAGAUAGGGAGCCGUGCGGGGUCCAUGGGUGGAGAAUUGCUAACAGGAGGCUCCGGGGGAGGGUAAUUCUUGUUAAACGCAGGCCGAGGAGUAGACAUCAGGGAUGGGGAUGAAGGAGCUUGCUCCAAUGCCGAUGGUAGGGGGUGACAUCGCAGGAUUCUCUGCAAAGACCGGCUUAGACAGGUCCUGAACCAGGCCUGGGAGAACCUGUCUAAAGUUUGGUCAAGAAGAGCCUUUGCCCGAGUUCAAUCCAAGGAUGGGCUCUGAGUUUGGGGAGCAGGCCAAGCUGUGUCUCAGGCUCCAGAGAGUUCCCUCCCCGCGACUCUGUCUGGCAGGAGAGGGAGCAAGACUUAUCGCUCACAGGUCCUGCUGGAUACAGGGCAUGCCCAGGGCCACACGGUGAGCGGGUGCGGGAGAGAGUGAGGUGACCCCAGGCUCUGCCUUUCUUAGGGUCUGAGGGCGGGGUGUGUGCGUUUUUGAGGGGUCCCUUGUGGGCUAACUGAUGCAUGAGAGGGAGAGAUUGGGUGCGGGAAGCUAGAGGUGGGGUCACUGGCACCUGGUUACCCGGGUCCUCCUGGGCCUCCGUGGUGUGGGAGGCAGAACAGCCUGCCUGAAUGUUCUGCACAUGGCUGUGCCACGCGGCCGGCAACAUGUUCAUUCAGGAUGGACGUCUUUUGAAGCGUAUGCCUUGGUGCUUGAAACCUAACGUCAGGCAUUUACACUUCCGAUUCGCCUGGGACUCGUGCCCGGUCCCUCCUGCCACCUCCCCUUCCAAACUGCUCCAGUGGAUGUCGGGGCACCUCUGACGCGUGCUGGCCUUGUCUCAACCCAGCCAAGUCCCGGGAGCGUCCCAGGCUGCCCACCCCCUGCCUCCUCCUCCCCUCAUCACGCACACACUUAAUUUAGCCUGAGAAUUGAUGGCACCUGCGAUCUCUUUAUUAAGCGUGAGAUAAAAUAGUGAAAGGGUUAGUCACUCAGUCGUGUCCGACUCUGCAACCCCAUGGACUGUAGCCUGCCACCUCCCCUCUGUCCACGUGAUUCUCCAGGCAAUAAUACUGGACUGGGCUGCCUUUCCCUUCUCCAGGGGAUCUUCCCGACUCAGGGAUAGAACUCAGGUCUCCUGCAUUGUCUGCAGAUUCUUUACCAUCUGAGCCACCAGGGACACCCAACAUAAACACCCCUGUCAUUUUCAUUAAAAACAAACAAAAAACUACUUCAAGCAAGCCUUUAAUUUUUGUUCCACUCUUUAGAGUGUGGUCCUCACAGGGGGUUCCUUGACUCACAGCAUCAGCAUCCCCUGGGAGCCUGUUGAGGAUGCAGGUGCUUGGGCCCACCCUGACCUGCUGAAGCUGGAAAUUUGGGGGCAGGGGGAGCCAUUUGAAUUUUAACAAGCCCCCAGGAGAGUCUAAUGCAUUCUAGAAGUUGAGAACCACCAGUCUGGAGUAGAAUUUUGGUCUCUGUUUCGAGUAAAUCCAUUUGAAGCAGCCAAUUUGUCUUAGCUAUGGAGCCCUCCUGUAUUUCCUUUCAUUUUGGUCCUACUCGUUUGAGGAGAACCCAUUCCCAGGGUCUGAGUCCUCUUCAACAAGCCCACCAGUUACAUGAGGAGCAGGUGCCUUGAAAACAAUGCUUCUCCCGGCGGUGGUGCAAUGGAAUCACCUGGGAAACCGCCCAAACUCAGGGUUCUGGCCCCACCUCCAGGGGUCAGGGCCAAAUGCUUGGAUGUUCAUAGCUCCUCCUUGGCUCCAAGUAGGGGCAGAUGUAGAAACCUGGCCCAGGAAGGGAGCGCCCCUCAGAGGAGAGUCUGGCCGCCUGUGGCUCACUGUAGCAGAAUGGUUGCGUGUGUGUUAGUCGCUCAGUCGUGUCCAACUCUUUGCGACCCCAUGGACUGUAGCCUGCCAGGCUCCUGUCCAUGGGAUUCUUCAGGCAAGAAUACUGGAGUGGGUAGCCAUUCCCUUUUCCAGGGGAUCUUCCCGACCCAGGGAUCAAACCCAGGUCUCCCGUACUGCAGGUGGAUUCCUUACCUCGAAGCCCCGCUGUAGCGGAAUACUCGCUGACAAGCUAGAACUUUGGGUGGA